rnacentral:rRNA from 1 species
AGCGAACGCUGGCGGCAGGCCUAACACAUGCAAGUCGAACGGACCCUUCGGGGUUAGUGGCGGACGGGUGAGUAACACGUGGGAACGUGCCUUUAGGUUCGGAAUAGCUCCUGGAAACGGGUGGUAAUGCCGAAUGUGCCCUUCGGGGGAAAGAUUUAUCGCCUUUAGAGCGGCCCGCGUCUGAUUAGCUAGUUGGUGAGGUAACGGCUCACCAAGGCGACGAUCAGUAGCUGGUCUGAGAGGAUGACCAGCCACACUGGGACUGAGACACGGCCCAGACUCCUACGGGAGGCAGCAGUGGGGAAUCUUGCGCAAUGGGCGAAAGCCUGACGCAGCCAUGCCGCGUGAAUGAUGAAGGUCUUAGGAUUGUAAAAUUCUUUCACCGGGGACGAUAAUGACGGUACCCGGAGAAGAAGCCCCGGCUAACUUCGUGCCAGCCGCCGCAGUAA